GACUACGUGCUACUGUGACAUUAGUUCAAAUGACUACGUGCUACUACAACAGUUAGAACAGAGAUGCCCAAACUACGGCCUGUGGGCCAAAGUUGGCCCGUGGUGACUUGAUUUGGCCCGCCAUGCCAUAUGCCAGCAUGCAUUGCGACAGUCAACAGGUAAUAAUGGAGAGAUCCAGGCACUGGCACACAGACAAGAGGAAAUUUAAAAAGAUUUGGCAAGUUGACUUUUUAUUUACUGAAAUCAAUUCAAAGGCAGUGUGUCUAGUUUGCAAGCAGUCAGUUGCUGUUUUGAAAGAGUACAAAAUCCGUCAUUAUGAAACAAAACGUUCUUCAGCUUUCUCAAAGGACAGCGGCGAGGCAUGAAAACAGAAGGCUAACGAGCUGCUUGCUAAACUUCGAUCUGAGCAGAGCGCGCUGCUACGUCCUUCAUCAGCUCAAGAAAGUGCCACACGGGCCAGCUAUCAGAUUUCCUGUAUUUUACAUCAAGAACAGCUAUGUGCCCAAUCCAUCGGGCUUGUGGAUGUGAUGCGUGACGUCGUCAAAAUUGUGAAUGAUAUACGCUCCAAGGCGCUCUCUCACCUGCAGUUCAAGGUACUGUUGGAUGAGAUGGAUGCACAAUAUGGUGAUGUGUUGUACCACCAGGAGGUUAGAUGGCUGAGCAGAAGAAAAGUUCUCAGGAGAUUUUUUGAUCUGCGUGAUGAGAUCAGAGCUUUUCAGGAAAGCAAGAUUGGUAGUAUUCAAGAGCCCAUGGAUAAGAAAUGGUUUUCUGACCUGGCUUUCCUGGUGGACGUCACAGAGCUGCUCAAUGUUUUAAAUGUUCAGCUCCAGGGAAAAGACCAGAUUAUCACCCAGCAUUUUUAUCACGUCAGAGCCUUCAAACAAAAACUACUGCUGCUCAGAAGACAUCUCUCAGCAGCUAACAUUCACAAUUAUAAUAUUCACCAUAGUUUUAUGUGCAGUUAUUGUUAUUAUUAAUACUUAUAUUUAGUUAGCAUUUAUAUCCAGUGGUGUCAGCUUUGGGUUUUUUUGUUAAUCAAGCUGAUAAAUUUUGUGUCAAAGUUCUCUUAAAUUAUCAUGAUUUAAUUUCCUUGUUUUGUCAGUUAUUUAUUCUAUUUUCCUCCCUCUCUCUUCUUUCACUCCCCAUCUCACACUGUUCCUCUCUCUCAUCUCCACAUCCAGGAAAUGUAGCCCAUUUUCCCUGUUUUAGAGAGGCAGGCAUGAUGAAAGAGAAGGUACCUGAGUAUGAUGCUGUUCUCAGCAACCUUUUCCAGGAGUUUGACAGUCGCUUUGAGGACUUCAGACACAAUGCUUCUGACUUUGAGUGGUUUGUUCAACCCUUCACCAUCAGUGUGGACACAGUCAGUGAUGAUCUACAGAUGGAACCAAUUGAGCUUCAGUGUGAUUCAGAACUCAAACACAAGUUCAGGUCCCUUCCCUUGACAGAUUUCUACAAACGUGUCCCCACAAACAGGUACAGAUGUGCAAACAGGCACAAGUGAUGCUGUCUCUGUUUGGCAGUACCUACCACUGUGAACAGACUUUCAGUCUGAUGAACUUAAACAAGUGUAAACUGAGAUGCAAACUAACUGACUCUCACCACCAUAAUAUCCUGACUUUGACAGUAAGUCCACUGCAUCCCAAUUUGGAAAAAUGUUUGAAAAAUAAGGACCAGCUUCAUGUGUCUCAUUAGAGGUCACUGAUAUUGCAGGCAUGUGGCUGUAUUGCUAAUACCUUGAAUAGUUGUAUUAGGUAUUGAACAUGUAUUAUAAAUGGGAUUGGUUCUAUGUUUUAAUUAUACUAUAAGUUUCAUUGAACUAUAGAACUCUGAAAAUAAAACUGCAUUAGUGAAGCAGAUACAGACUAA